rnacentral:tRNA from 2 species
GCGGGAAUAGCUCAGUUGGUAGAGCAUAACCUUGCCAAGGUNNCAAGGUUGGGGUCGCGAGUUCGAGUCUCGUUUCCCGCUCCA